GCUACUUCGAAGUGCGAUCUGAAUCGGAUACGCUGUUUUGAGCAGAGAGAACAGAGAGAGUACACCAUACUCCUGACCUGGAACAGAGAGGCCGCGCGUCCCUUGGCCCGCACCGGAGCGACCGCGCGUCCCUUGGCCUGCACCAAAGACAGACCGUUUCUUCCGAGCUACAUCAUUUGAUAAGCACGGCCAGUCUUCAUACAUAUAAAUGCACUGGCUCUUAAAGGUGGGGGAGAUGUUAGUGUGUAAAGUGAGUAAUGGGUGCAACCAUUACACACUCUCUGGCCAAGAAUAUCAACAUGCGAGGUAUAAAUGGAAAGAUUGGCUUCCAGCAGCUGCAGAUAAAAGAUGUUCUGAUUGCUGCUGUGCGACGUAAUCGCCUAACUUGUGAUGCCACUGACCAAGAAAUUGAGUCAAGAAUAACAAAAUGGCUUCAAAAUGCACCAGAUGGGAAUGGAGGGCGACAGGAGCGAAUGAGGUGAAAGGAGCAGUGAUGUGUUUAUUAAUGUUGAAAGGCUACGCCAAAGUGUUCACGAAUAUUGCUGCUGUUUGAAGACUGUUCCAGUGCCUUUUUGCACUCAAAUUUGAUUCACUGGUUUUUUUUUGUUUGUUUGUUUUUGUUUGUUUGUUUGUUAGUUUUUCUUUACAAUUUUCAGUGUUUGAACUCUUCAGGACUGAGUUCCAAUGCUAUUUUUACUUUCAAAUGUGAUUUUUACUCUUGCACUAUUUAUGUUUCAGUUAUGUUUCAUUUCACAGUUAAAUGUGUUUUAAAUCUGGUAUUUGAUUUUAUAUAUAAUGCAAAACACACUGUUUGCGUUUGCCUGCACUGUAUGUCUACGUGCUGAGACAGACACGCCUCCCUGCCAGUAAAUAUCCAGUCAGUGAGUGCUAAAGUUAGGGGCGGUGACCAAGCUUGUGAUGCUGGUGUCAGGUUUCACUCUAAUCCUGGAGAGCGGUGAAGUGAGACAGAAACACGAGGAGCAGCGCUGUGAUUCAAAUCUGUGGUGUGGGAACAUUUGUUGUUGACCAUGAUGCAGAUGAAACAAAAACAGUAAACAAAAAAUGACUGUGUUUAAGCAGUGUUACACAUGAGUUAGAUACGGACAUGGAAAUACUUCCAACAUGACCACACAUCUGCAGCUUCAUCACCCCGCGAUAUCACUGUGUGGAGGCGGGAGCCUUUUUUCCCGACCUCUACGAAAAAACGUGCGCAAAAAUUGAAUACGCUUUGGUUAAAGCACAAAGUCUUGCUCUCAUAACAGAUAGCUGGAGCUUGGGGGUAACAGAGUUAUCUCACAGUGACUGGUCAUUACAUAGCGGAUUGGGAAAUGAAGAGCGCCGUCCAAACCCGUCUCCUGUAAUAGUCAUACAAGCGCUAAUUUUUAUACCUCACUAUUUUCAGUACACUUUCAUUGUGUUAGUUGAUUUUUGCAUUUAAGUAAAAUAAAGAGAAUUGCAACUAAAACCAGUUUUUUCUUCUUAACAUACUUACUGUUCCCGUCACCUAAACAAAGAAUAAUGGGGAAAAAAAACUUUAAUUUGCCAAGCCAUCCGAACCGAACACCAUGGGUAAAAACCGCGGUACGUAUUGAACCGUGGGUCAACUGUAUUGUUGCAUCCCUAAUAUAUAUAUA